CCACUACUCCCUCUGUCCCAAAUUUCUUGUCUUAGAUUUGUCUAGAUACGGAUGUAUCUAAUACUAAAAUGUGACUUGAUACAUCUGUAUCUAGACAAAUCUAAGACAAGAAUUUUGGGACGGAGGGAGUACUUU
rnacentral:pre_miRNA from 1 species